CCUCCACGCCGCCGUCUCCCCGUCCGCCACCUCGCCUUCUCCUCUGAAUCGAGCCAUCGGUCCUCUGCCACGACGCUCCCCCUCGCCUCGUUAAUUACUCACGGAAGGUGUCUUCCCUAUCCAUGAUGCUUCAGCAAGCACACACUCUAUGGAUGUCAAUGCAGAAGUUGAGAUGAACGAAGGAGAGAAUCCAGACUGCCCGUCACAGGCUGGUAGGAUAAGGGCGUCCCUAGGGAGAUUUGUCAAGUUGAAUAAAGAACUGACUCCAAUGCAAGGAGCAAAUUUGUGUGAGAGGCUAUUCGGGGGGGUCUUUCGAACGUAGCUGAGACGCUGCCUACGGAGCUGACCAAGUACCUAGUGCAGUGCUACAAACCAGAAACUUCAGAAACCACAGCCGUCACAGUUGCACAAGUUUGCUAGUAUAGUUGAUACAUCAAGGCUUCUCUAGUUGCAAAUAGUAUGCAAAAGUUGGCACAUGAAGGUUUUCACCUAGUUCCA